rnacentral:rRNA from 1 species
GACGAACGCUGGCGGCGUGCUUAACACAUGCAAGUCGAACGAGAAUCUGUGGAAAGAGGAUUCGUCCAAUUGAAGCAGAGGACAGUGGCGGACGGGUGAGUAACGCGUGAGGAACCUGCCUUUCAGAGGGGGACAACAGUUGGAAACGACUGCUAAUACCGCAUGACACGUAGGUGUCGCAUGGCACUUAUGUCAAAGAUUUAUCGCUGAAAGAUGGCCUCGCGUCUGAUUAGCUAGUUGGUGAGGUAACGGCCACCAAGGCGACGAUCAGUAGCCGGACUGCGAGGUUGAACGGCCACAUUGGGACUGAGAUACGGCCCAGACUCCUACGGGAGGCAGCAGUGGGGAAUAUUGGGCAAUGGGCGCAAGCCUGACCCAGCAACGCCGCGUGAAGGAAGAAGGCUUUCGGGUUGUAAACUUCUUUUGUCAGGGACGAGUGGAAGACGGUACCUGACGAAUAAGCCACGGCUAACUACGUGCCAGCCGCCGCCGUAA